rnacentral:rRNA from 1 species
UUGCCAAACUCCUACGGGAGGCAGCAGUGAGGAAUAUUGGUCAAUGGGCGGAAGCCUGAACCAGCCAAGUCGCGUGAGGGAUUAAGGCCCUGCGGGUCGUAAACCUCUUUAGGCGGGGAGCAAUGCCGGGCACGCGUGUCCGGAGGGAGAGUACCCGCAGAAUAAGCAUCGGCUAACUCCGUGCCAGCAGCCGCGGUAAUACGGAGGACGCGAGCGUUAUCCGGAUUUAUUGGGUUUAAAGGGUGCGUAGGCGGAUUUUUAAGUCAGCGGUAAAAUGUCCGGGCUCAACCCGGGCCGGCCGUUGAAACUGGGGAUCUUGAGUGGGCGAGAAGUAUGCGGAAUGCGUGGUGUAGCGGUGAAAUGCAUAGAUAUCACGCAGAACUCCGAUUGCGAAGGCAGCAUACCGGCGCCCGACUGACGCUGAGGCACGAAAGCGUGGGGAUCGAACAGGAUUAGAUACCCGCGUAUC